rnacentral:rRNA from 1 species
UCAAUAUGGAGGAUCACUUAGUCCUUAGAGCGAUGAAAACCGUAGUAAUUUGUGGAAAUUGGUGUGAGUUGUGAAAUUUUGUGAGCAUUGUGUUUUUGAAUGAAAAUUUCAGUACAGAUGCGAAUGUAUCUAUGCUGCAUUUGUUUCAGUAUAAAAAAGUACUAAUGCGUAGUUACUAUUGCUG